rnacentral:rRNA from 1 species
UACGUAGGUGGCAAGCGUCAUCCGGAAUUAUUGGGCGUAAAGCGCGCGUAGGCGGUUUUUUAAGUCUGAUGUGAAAGCCCACGGCUCAACCGUGGAGGGUCAUUGGAAACUGGAAAACUUGAGUGCAGAAGAGGAAAGUGGAAUUCCAUGUGUAGCGGUGAAAUGCGCAGAGAUAUGGAGGAACACCAGUGGCGAAGGCGACUUUCUGGUCUGCAACUGACGCUGAUGUGCGAAAGCGUGGGGAUCAAACAGG